rnacentral:rRNA from 1 species
AUGUUUAAUGACUGCAUUGCUGAUCUUGGCCUUCACGAGAUAGAUAGGAUUGGUGCCAGGUUUAUCUGGACCAAUCGCCAGGCGGCCCCGACCCAGUCUGUUCUAGACCGGGUCCUAGUCUCCGAGGAGUGGGACCUCCGCUGCCCCCUGGCUUCCCUCCGGGCCAUCACCCGGAUUUGCUCCGACCACGUCCCCCUCCUCUUAUCCUCUGCCGACAAGCGCCCUCUGAUUCCCCGUCACUUCUGGUUGGAGACAUUCUGGCUGUCCCAAACCGGCUUCGUGGAGGACGUCAGCGCUUGCUGGGUGGAGGCCCGAGCUCACCCCCACCCACCCCCGUCCUCCCUUGACUCUUGGCAGUUUUCUGCCAAGCGGGGCCGGUAGUUCAUGAAGGGGUGGGGCGCCAACCUAGACCGCGAUCUCCACGAGCAGAAGAAGGCCCUGUUGACCGCCAUCUAGGCCCUUGACCUCCAGGCUGACGCAUUUGGCCUCUCUCCUGAUGAGUGGCUCUCUCGUUACGACGUGGAAGAUCAACUCUCUGUCAUUUACAUCGAUGAGGAGGCAUAUUGGCAUUCUCAUGGCUCCCAGAAAUGGGUCUUGAAGGGCGAUGCGAACACGGCCUACUUCUAGGCCAUUGCUAAUUCUCGUCGGUGCAACACUAUCCCUUUUCUCCGUGAUGGCGCGACGCUCUUGCAGUCUCCUUGCGACAUUCGUGCUCACGUCGACGGGUUCUACAAAAACCUUUUCUCUUCCUCCCCUCGGGGCGGUCUGUCUCUUGCUCCUGACUGCUGGGCCGGCCCCCAGCAGGUAUCCCCUGAGGACAAUGCGGUCAACGGUCCCUUCUCCGAGGGAGAGGUUUUGGCGGCCAUUAGAGGCAUGAACCCUACCUCGGCCCCGGGUCCCGACGGCCUUCCGGUGAAAUUCUUCCAGACAUUCUAGAAUGUGAUCAAACCCGAGAUCAUGGCCAUCUUCGACGAGUUCUAUGUGGGAUCCAUUAACCUUGAUCGCCUCAACUAUGGGAUCAUUUCACUGAUGCCCAAAGUUCAUGGGGCGUCCGGCAUCCACAAGUUCCGUCCGAUAACAGUGAUCAACGUGAUCUUCUGGAUCGGCAAAGGGUUAGCCAAUAGUGUGACCCUGCUUGCGGAUCGCAUUACGCACCCCAACCAGCCGGCCUUCUUUCAAGGGUGCUAUAUCCUGGACGGGGUGCUAGUCCUUCAUGAAGUCCUUCACGAGGUCAUCUCUAAGCACCUCAAGGCAGUCUUCCUAAAGAUCGAUUUCCAUAAGGCCUAA